rnacentral:misc_RNA from 1 species
AAGUCGUAACAAGGUUUCCGUAGGUGAACCUGCGGAAGGAUCAUUAACACGUGUCACCACGUAUUAUACCCCAUACCAAUGAGAACCCGUUAAUCGCGCCCCUUUGGAUAGAAUGAAUGGGAAUCAGUCCAGUGUAGUGAGUGGGACCGAGAGGUCAGCCUGGCUGUUACAUACUGCUACUCGACGCGUAAUUGCUGACGGGGCGACCAUUGUAUCUAUUUGUAAGGCUUAUUCUUAUUUUCCAAUCUCCACCCAUGAUUGAGUUAGUAGGAUCAUUUUAAACCCAUUUCACCCAAUUUU